UGAAUKGAUUAAAACUCACAUAAAAUUAAAUUUGGGAGUUCAGAUUGUCCUUUGAGCAAUCCAGUUGAGAUGGGAGCAUUCACAAAUCUGUCAUUUCAGUGAAUCUACCAUAACUUUUUCCUUCAUUUUAUAUAAUGAAAUGUUCAUUCUAGUCUCARUUUAAAUAAAAGAUAAAGAGGAAUUUCAUUUCAAUUUUCUUAUCCCUAGAUAAGCCGUGCCUGUUGCAGCUCRUGUAACUGUGGGGGACCUGCCUGAGACAUACAGGUCUAGCUCCAGCUGGAAUUGAAGGAUUACGAGCAGAAAAGAGGACAUUUUUGCAGAAUUAAGGACAAGGCCAGAACCAUUUAACAAAAYGGGAACCAAAGGUACUAUGCAAUUCUGAUAUGUUACUCAGCUGCUAUGAGAAUGGAACAACUGGGCCUAAUCUUGUGUCUGAGUAAAUUGACAGAAUUAUGAGUUAAUCUUUUCAAGAGAGUAUGUUAACUUUGGAACAGAUUAGAAGGCAUCUMUUUGGUAAUGUUUAUUUUUAAAUAGUGUCUUUGGCAGAACCUGGUUACUUGCUAAACUGUUACMUUUGUGUUGUCUAGUACAUAAACAGAUUGAUGUAUCAUUUUAAUUGCUUUUUUUUUGAAUCUGUAAGAGGAAGGAAAAAAGAAGCAAUUCAAAUGACAAUAAAUCUAAAUAAAAUAAUCAACAGACUCCUACAAGUGUAAAACAUAAAAUUGCUUGAAAAGGUGGGGGAGUGGUUUUCAGUAUUUCAGAGUGAGUUUUUGCUUUGAACUACAUGUUGUUGAAUGUAUAGGAGGUAAUUUAAAGUUGUCUUUGUUUGGGUAGAAUCAACUGCACGGAAUUGUAAAAGCUCAACAAGCUGUGUAACAAAUCAGUCGAGAAGAAAUGGAGGGGAGAUUUCAUCAUAUAUAUGAUGAUCACAUCUUACUCAAGCAGUGUGCAAAUAAGCAAGAGGAAAAAACUAAAAGAAUCCUUCACCAAAACCCUUUUAACUGGAGGUUUGGAAUGAAUUUGCAGCAGAAGAUCACUGAAAUAACUCCACGUAAUCAAAAAACCUGCUUACAGGCAAGUAACAUUCUGUGACAUCCUGAAGUUAUUAUGGAUUUUUUUGUUUCACUUUUGUUCUUUUAAGUAGAAGCUUCUGUCCACAAGUAUACAAAAAAUAAAGCAAGCCUCUUUAAACAAAUGAAAUGUGUCCUUAUUUUCCGUUUUGUUUCUGAGCCUUCAAAAAUAGAUUCCCUGUAAACUAGAUACAGGUCUCGAAGAUGCGCAGCCGACUUUGUAAAGUCUUGAACUUGUCUCUCUCAUCAAAGCCACCUUUUCUUUCUUUGUAUGCCAAGUUUUUUGCAUUCACUGCUGGGUAUGUUUUCUGUUCRAGCAUGUUACAUCACCCCUAUGUGCCCUCCCUGCCUUUUGUUCUAGUUUACCAAUGUUUAUCAAAACUAAGGGAAAUUAAAGGUACAACCCUUG